CGUGAGAGAGACGUUGUCUAUCUAGCUCUGUAGUGGGGCUGUGAUGACGUGAGAGAGACGUUGUCUAUCUAGCUCUGUAGUGGGGCUGUGUUGAUGUGGGAGAGACGUUGUCUAUCUAGCUCUGUAGUGGGGCUGUGUUGACGUGAGAGAGACGUUGUCUAUCUAGCUCUGUAGUGGGGCUGUGUUGAUGUGAGAGAGACACGUUGUCUAUCUAGCUCUGUAGUGGGGCUGUGUUGAUGUGGGAGAGACGUUGUCUAUCUAGCUCUGUAGUGGGGCUGUGUUGACGUGAGAGAGACGUUGUCUAUCUAGCUCUGUAGUGGGGCUGUGUUGACGUGAGAGAGACGUUGUCUAUCUAGCUCUGUAGUGGGGCUGUGUUGACGUGAGAGAGACGUUGUCUAUCUAGCGCUGUAGUGGGGCUGUGUUGACGUGAGAGAGACGUUGUCUAUCUAGCUCUGUAGUGGGGCUGUGUUGAUGUGGGAGAGACGUUGUCUAUCUAGCUCUGUAGUGGGGCUGUGUUGAUGUGAGAGAGACGUUGUCUAUCUAGCUCUGUAGUGGGGCUGUGUUGACGUGAGAGAGACGUUGUCUAUCUAGCUCUGUAGUGGGGCUGUGUUGAUGUGAGAGAGACACGUUGUCUAUCUAGCUCUGUAGUGGGGCUGUGUUGAUGUGGGAGAGACGUUGUCUAUCUAGCUCUGUAGUGGGGCUGUGUUGACGUGAGAGAGACGUUGUCUAUCUAGCUCUGUAGUGGGGCUGUGUUGAUGUGAGAGAGACGUUGUCUAUCUAGCUCUGUAGUGGGGCUGUGUUGAUGUGGGAGAGACGUUGUCUAUCUAGCUCUGUAGUGGGGCUGUGAUGACGUGAGAGAGACGUU